CUGUAGCCAAUUGAGCCAACCAUGGUGCUCUUUCCCCCAUGGGGGCCCUGUGUGCAAUGGUUGCAAACAGCCGCCUCCUAGGUAGUAUACACAGCCUAUUUCCUGUAUGGGUUGCACUAAUGGACCUUAGAGACAGUC
ensembl:snoRNA SNORA70 Small nucleolar RNA SNORA70